CGGGGACAAGGUGUUUGGUAGUUGUAACACAGAUAGCUUUGUUCUGAAGGAUCGACCCUGCAGUGUCCAAAUCAGUUACAUGUAUAUCUAUAAGGAUGGGGCUGACGAUUGGGUUCCAAACUCUGUUGAAAUCUCUGGCUCUGGAAUCAAACCCCUUCUGUUCAUCUACAAAUCUUCCAUCCCAAGAAACACUUGGUUUGGCUAUGAUUUGCGCCAAUAUACUUUCCCACCGCCGCCCUCCUACGACCCGGCCCCUCCUCUUCCCUGGUUGUCUUCUCCUCCUCCUCCUUCCCAUCCCCUGCUACCACCGCCGGAGCCAAUUCUUCCACCGUUUCCUCCUCCACAUAAGCCUGUUCUUCCCCCACCGCCUCCUCCUACUCCUUCAUCGUCCUCCAGCAAAAUCUCAGGUCAGAAAUGGGGUAUGGCAUCUGUGUUUUUGGGAUUGUUGACUGCCCUUCUGUGAUUCUGCAGCAGCUGCUUGCUUGCUUUAUGUAGUAGUUUAUUAGUAGGUAGAUUUUGUAGUGAUGGGUGGGUGUUAUGUUAAAGUUUCUUUCCCCAUUUCGCCAUGUUGUAGGGAUCUAUGUAAGCUUUCAAAGCUUUUGUCUUUUCAGCUGUAUGAGACUGGUGCAAUUCAACAGCUACUGCUUGUUUUAUGUGGCUGUUGGUUGAGAAUGGUGGGUGUA
rnacentral:misc_RNA from 1 species